UUUUAUUUGAGAGUUUGAUCCUGGCUCAGGAUGAACGCUGGCGGCGUGCCUAACACAUGCAAGUUGAGCGAUUUACUUCGGUAAAGAGCGGCGGACGGGUGAGUAACGCGUGGGUAACCUACCCUGUACACACGGAUAACAUACCGAAAGGUAUGCUAAUACGGGAUAAUAUAUUUGAGAGGCAUCUCUUGAAUAUCAAAGGUGAGCCAGUACAGGAUGGACCCGCGUCUGAUUAGCUAGUUGGUAAGGUAACGGCUUACCAAGGCGACGAUCAGUAGCCGACCUGAGAGGGUGAUCGGCCACAUUGGAACUGAGACACGGUCCAAACUCCUACGGGAGGCAGCAGUGGGGAAUAUUGCACAAUGGGCGAAAGCCUGAUGCAGCAACGCCGCGUGAGUGAUGAAGGCCUUCGGGUCGUAAAACUCUGUCCUCAAGGAAGAUAAUGACGGUACUUGAGGAGGAA
rnacentral:rRNA from 1 species